rnacentral:rRNA from 1 species
GAUGAACGCUAGCGGCAGGCUUAAUACAUGCAAGUUGAGGGGCAGCAUGAUAUACGCGAGUAUAUUGAUGGCGACCGGCGGACGGGUGAGUAAUAGGUAGGAGACCUACCUCAUACAGGGGGAUAGCAUAGAGAAAUCUGUGGUAAUACCCCAUGAGGUUAUAUGAAUAGAGGCAUAUAAUCAAAGCAUAAGCGAUUAUGCGGUAUGAGAGGGGCCUACUGACCAUUAGCUAGUUGGUGAGGUAAGGGCUCACCAAGGCGAAGAUGGUUAGGGGUUUUGAGAGAGAGACCCCCCACAUUGGAACUGAGAGACGGUCCAGACUCCUACGGGAGGCAGCAGUAGGGAAUAUUGGGCAAUGGGCGAAAGCCUGACCCAGCCAUGCCGCGUGAAGGAAGACGGCCUUAUGGGUUGUAAACUUCUUACUACGCGAAUAGAGGUUAGUACGAGAUAACUAAUAGGAAGGUAGUGUAGUAAAAGCACCGGCUAACUCCGUGCC